rnacentral:rRNA from 1 species
UACGUAGGGGGCAAGCGUUAUCCGGAUUUAUUGGGCGUAAAGCGCGCGCAGGCGGCUUCUUAAGUCUGAUGUGAAAGCCCACGGCUCAACCGUGGAGGGUCAUUGGAAACUGGGAGGCUUGAGUGCAGAAGAGGAGAGCGGAAUUCCACGUGUAGCGGUGAAAUGCGUAGAGAUGUGGAGGAACACCAGUGGCGAAGGCGGCUCUCUGGUCUGUAACUGACGCUGAGGCGCGAAAGCGUGGGGAGCGA